CUGGCGGCACGCCUAACACAUGCAAGUCGAACGAAGUAGCAAUACUUAGUGGCAGACGGGUGAGUAACAUGUGGGUAUCUGCCCUUUGGCCUGGAAUAACACGAGGAAACUUGUGCUAAUACCGGAUAAGUCUUUACAGAGAAAGCUUUAUGCACCAUUGGAUGAGCCCGCAUUUGAUUAGUUUGUUGGUGGGGUAAUGGCCUACCAAGACUUUGAUCAAUAGCUGAUUUGAGAGGAUGAUCAGCCACAUUGGGACUGAGACACGGCCCAAACUCCUACGGGAGGCAGCAGUGGGGAAUCUUGCACAAUGGAGGAAACUCUGAUGCAGCGAUGCCGCGUGAGUGAAGAAGGCCCUUGGGUUGUAAAGCUCUUUCGUCGGGGAAGAAAAUGACUGUACCCGAAUAAG
rnacentral:rRNA from 1 species